GACGAAGGAUGCAAGCGUUAUCCGGAUUCAUUGGGUUUAAAGGGAGCGUAGGCGGCCCUAUAAGUCAGUGGUGAAAUCUCCCGGCUUAACCGGGAAAUUGCCAUUGAUACUGUAGGGCUUGAGUACAGUUGCCGUUGGCGGAAUAUGACAUGUAGUGGUGAAAUACAUAGAGAUGUCAUAGAACACCGAUUGCGAAGGCAGCUAACGAAGCUGUAACUGACGCUGAGGCUCGAAAGUGCGGGGAUCAAACAGG
rnacentral:rRNA from 1 species